GACGAACGCUGGCGGCGUGCUUAACACAUGCAAGUCGAGCGGAAAGGCCCUUCGGGGUACUCGAGCGGCGUACGGGUGAGUAACACGUGAGUAACCUGCCCUAGGCUUUGGGAUAACCCCGGGCAACCGGGGCUAAUACCGGAUAUGACCUGGUGCCGCAUGGUGUUGGGUGGAAAGUUUUUUCGGCCUGGGAUGGUCUCGCGGCCUAUCAGCUUGUUGGUGGGGUGAUGGCCUACCAAGGCGAUGACGGGUAGCCGGCCUGAGAGGGCGACCGGCCACACGGGGACUGAGAGACGGCCCAGACUCCUACGGGAGGCAGCAGUGGGGAAUAUUGCACAAUGGGCGGAAGCCUGAUGCAGCGACGCCGUGUGAGGGAUGAAGGCCUUCGGGUUGUAAACCUCUUUCGGCAGGGACGAAGCGUGAGUGACGGUACCUGCAGAAGAAGCGCCGGCCAACUACGUG
rnacentral:rRNA from 1 species